UAUAGAAGCUCUCUCAGAUGCACACAUGUUGCAGUUUAGAGAUCAAGAGGGAAGCAUCUCACCCCAUCUACAUGGAGUUCUCUUCACAUCAUGACAUAUCACGUUCUUGAGAAGUUUUAUUAUUUCUUUUAUUUUUUUCCCCACCUGCAUUCUCACAUUUAUUGGGCCUAAUUCUCAUUUCUCAAAUCAAAAUACUCGUUGUUUAGCUCAUGAAUGAAGUGCCAGAAACAACAAAAUCUUCAUUUCUUGCUGAGUAAUCAGGAAUCAAUUAGAAUUGAUCGAGUAAAACCAGAAUUAAGCUAGACAUAUUUAGCAGUUCCCACUGUUCAAACUAGAGACAUAUUUAGUAGCAACCAUUGUUCAAAAUUACAUCUUUUCUUCGCCUCUAAUUUUUAACAUAAAUAACAUUCAUUCUCAAGACUUUCUGGUGUUCAAAAUAGAAAAAUUUUAGGAACAAGAAACUGAGGUGUCAGAUAACCUGAUUUAUGCAGGUAAACAUCACUGUCACCU
rnacentral:misc_RNA from 1 species